UGUGGUCGGUGUACAGGUGGUGCAUGGCUGUCGUCAGCGGGGGGGAGUGUGUUGGGUUAAGUCCCGCAACGAGCGCAACAGGGAACCCGUGUUGCCAGCAGGCCCUUGUGGUGCUGGGGACUCACGGGAGACCGCCGGGGUCAACUCGGAGGAAGGUGGGGACGACGUCAAGUCAUCAUGCCCCUUAUGUCUUGGGCUGCACACGUGUGUACAAUGGCCGGUACAAUGAGCUGCGAUACCGCGAGGUGGAGCGAAUCUCAAAAAGCCGGUCUCAGUUCGGAUUGGGGUCUGCAACUCGACCCCAUGAAGUCGGAGUCGCUAGUAAUCGCAGAUCAGCAUUGCUGCGGUGAAUACGUUCCCGGGUCUUGUACACAC
rnacentral:rRNA from 1 species